AAUGUGACAGCCACACAGUACACAGGCUCACUCAAUGGCAUCUACCACCCCACUGACUAGUACAGUGAAGUUAUCAUUGUUCACACAUGCACAUUCCAGUCCACUCUCCUUGGCUGCAACAUUACAUUGAUGCUGCACAAACCUUUCUUGUUAUACUAACAAUGGCUGGACUUUUUAUGGACUGACCUUCUAUGUGUAUUUUUGCAGGGAGAGAGAGAGGGGUU